UUUCCGUAGGUGAACCUGCGGAAGGAUCAUUAUUGUAUAACGGAGGCGCGAGGGAUGUAGUUGGACCGGACUGUUGUGCACGGCCGAGUACACUAACACACAUCCAUCUCACCCCGAUGUUCACCACGGCUUGGGUCCCCCUUUGCCUUGUUCGGAGGGGGGCUUCCGUUUUCACGCAAACUUUUUAUAUAGUGUAGGAUGUAUUUUUUUUUUUUGCGAUCACGCUAACAAUACAACUUUCAACUACGGAUCCCUUAGCUCUCGCAUCGGUUGAGAACC
rnacentral:misc_RNA from 1 species